rnacentral:misc_RNA from 1 species
GGAUCUUCAAAUCCAAACGCCAUUGUCUUCUUUCUAAGCCUUUCUCUAGUUUCUCCUACUGAAAUCAGAGUAAAAGGAUCGUCACUGAAUUCAGAGUUGAACAACAAAAAUGUCAGGCCCUCAAUGCUGUUCAAACCCACCAACUCUAAACCCCAGCAGCGGCGCCGGCCAUCUCGAACAACUCGGCGGCCUCAAUACCUACGUCACCGGCUCCCCUCACUCCAAACUCGCCGUCCUCUUUAUUACCG